UACAACGCACUACCUGUUCAUAGUAGUCGUUGCUGUCAACAGCACACUGCUCACCAUCAACGCAGGGGACUACAUCUUCUACACAGACUGGGCGUGGACGUCCUUCGUUGUGUUCUCGGUGUCGCCGUGGACAAUUCUUGAUGUAGGAGCAAUAUACUUCAUGUUAUUCACAGCUGUACCAGGCACCAUCACAUUUUAUGCCACUUUCAUUAUCUUCACAUCCUCAGUGCAAACGGUCGCCUGUAUGUCUCGUAUUUACCCCACAUUCUUCGCCGGGCACCACGAUGCAACAAGCACGCGGCCUAACUGGUUGUCUUUAGUCUGGUUGGCCCAUCCUUCCCGCUGUUAAACAUGGUCAACAUGUUGCUUGUAAGGGACCCGCUCGAGGUGGCCUUCAAGUAGCCGAGACCGACUCUGCCCGCGUACAUGACGCCUAUAGAGCCUCAGGUAGGAAAGUUCUACAACUCGCCUGUCGCCCUGGGUUCAGGUGCCGGUGCAGUGCUAACGGUACCCAUCGCUGCGUUGGGUGCAAAACUAAACACGUGG
rnacentral:rRNA from 1 species